UACGUAGGGCGCAAGCGUUGUCCGGAAUUAUUGGGCGUAAAGAGCUCGUAGGCGGCUUGUCACGUCGGGUGUGAAAGCCCGGGGCUUAACCCCGGGUCUGCAUUCGAUACGGGCAGGCUAGAGUGUGGUAGGGGAGAUCGGAAUUCCUGGUGUAGCGGUGAAAUGCGCAGAUAUCAGGAGGAACACCGGUGGCGAAGGCGGAUCUCUGGGCCAUUACUGACGCUGAGGAGCGAAGCGUGGGGAGCGAACAGG
rnacentral:rRNA from 1 species